UAUCGCUCACUGUCCUCCUGAGAAGAGAAGAGAAGAGAAGAGAAGAGAAGAGAAGAGAAGAGAAGAGAAGAGAAGAGAAGAGAAGAGAAGAGAAGAGAAGAGAAGAGAAGAGAAGAGAAGAGAAGAGAAGAAUAUAAUAUAUGCAAGAUGGCAAAAGAGACAGACACACAACACUCAGCAAGCAAGCAGGAAGUCAGAGGGCUGAGUCAUUCACAAUCGAGCCUGGAUCACACCCUUCCUGCAGUAUUAACAGGACUAACUGCUGAUCGUACAAACACCCAUCACUGCUGCUCGGUCCUGAUGUGGAGGUCACACACUAUGGUUUACAUCAACAGGAAGUAGACAUGCAGAACAAGCUUGUCAUUCAGAAGUCCCUGGGAGUUUGAUGAAUGCCAGGACAGUCUGAGUCCAGAGUUCUUAUCUGUUGACAUAAAUACCACAGAAGGAGAUGCCAAGUUCACCAGAUCUAUCUCUCCCACGGCCUCUUGUACCAGCAUGCCAGGCUAAGGGGGUACAUGCUAAUCAGCUGGACUGCUAAUAGACUAGCUGUAACAGAAAAUGAAGGGAACAAACAGAAGACAUGCAAUACAAAUAAAUGGAAGUCCACAACUGCUCCUUGUUUUCACUGUGUUUUUGGACAGUACUUGGAAGCAAAACUUACUAUAGUGUAAAAAAAAUAGGCAUUAUUAACUUCAAAACUAUGACUUAUAUAAACCAAAAGAGCCUCUGGCCAGUUUAAUUCAUUUUAAUGUGGAAAGCUCAAUAUUCAAAAUGUGAAUCAUUUUGCCAUCUGUGUAAACUGGAUUAACUGUCUUCAGUAUGAGACAUAAACAGUCUUUUUCACUCCGGUACUAACGUAAGAGCCAGAGACUGGAACAUAUGAGAUCACUGGAGACGUCUGCCACAUUUCUGGCCUGCCCAUAUUAAUACCUAUAUAAAUUGUGCCAGCCUUCCAUGUCAAACAUAAACCAAACAAUGUCUGAUCUGUGUGUGGUGGGACCAUAUUUUAGCAGUUCCUGGGAUCUGUGGCAAGUUUUAAUAUAAAAAGUGAGCUUGCUCUAAAAGAAACUCACCAUGUAGGGCUAAAAGAAUUUAGGAACAAGAAUUUGGCUCAUUCCGAGCAUGGAGAAAAUGAUGACAAAAAGGGAGGGAAAGAAAAAGGAGGAAAAGAGCUGAUAAGAUUAAAUGACCAUUACUUAGCAGUAAUACAUCAUGUCUAAUAUAAACCUCAGACAAUGGAAAUGUGAAUUUUUAAUGUUAAAGGGAUAGAUCUGUAUAUAAUGUAAGAUAUAACUAUACAGUAUACUCACGUUAAGCGAUAUAUACUAUAAAACAAAUCUCAACUGCUUGAAUUUUUUAUACCACUGCAAAAUGUUUACUAUUAUCGCCCCAAGUCUAUGGUACUAUAAGGUAUGAAAAUGUUAACAUUAAUAUCAUUAGAAUACAAUAUUUAUACAGGUUUACAAUGACAUGAGAGGGGGAGGGGGGUGAACUAUCCCUUUAAAUACUUUCCUAACCCCGUUUAAUCUGCAGAGAUAAUAAGUAAGCCAUUCAUAUUGACUUCCCAAAGAGUGCAAACACUGUAGAUCUGCGGUGCUAUCAAAACAUUAGUAUUUUGUUUGAGCAGUUCGACAUGCC